rnacentral:lncRNA from 11 species
UGUCUACUCAACUCUAAAGUUCCAUCAGAUUAAUAUCUAUUUAUUAUCCUGUUUUUCAGGCUGGAAUGUGUCCAGUGAAAAAUGAACAAGAUGUACAUUGGCCUGCAAGCCAAGCUUUACAAGGAAUGACUUGGAGAGCUGGGGAUUCUAAACUUGGAGGAGGGAAGAGUAUUGCUGACAUGAUAACUAGCUACCUUUCAAUAUCUGAAGAGAUAGCUGGCAGAAGAGGGAAUCCUGCUUUGUUCAAACUGCACCUAGAUGUUUGGGUUUUAUUCUGGACACUGCAGUUCAAGAAGAAUGUGGACAAAGUGGGUCGUUUCCAGAGGAAGGUGAACAAUAUGAUCAAAGGCCUAGAAGACAAGUCCUAUGAGGAAUUACUAAAUGAGUUGGGAAUGUUUUGCCCGGAGAAAAGAAGUUUG